UACGGGGGGGGCAAGCGUUGUUCGGAAUUACUGGGCGUAAAGGGUCUGUAGGUGGCUCGCUAAGUCAGACGUGAAAUCCCUCAGCUUAACUGGGGAACUGCGUCUGAGACUGGCAAGCUUGAGUGCAGGAGAGGAACGCGGAAUUCCAGGUGUAGCGGUGAAAUGCGUAGAUAUCUGGAGGAACACCGGUGGCGAAGGCGGCAUCCUGGACCGACACUGACGCUGAGGAGCGAAAGCCAGGGGAGCAAACGGG
rnacentral:rRNA from 1 species